ensembl:lncRNA
UGUUCCAAGCUGUCGCUAACUAUGGCAUAUGACUCUGGAUCUCCAUCAGACCACAGCACAGAGGGAAACACAGUGAUCUGUUUCUGAUGCCAGUAUGCUGACUGAAUCUGAUCUUGUGAUUCAGAAAUUGUGUAGCUGCUGCCUUUACGGCAUCUAGGACAUCACCUAGUGUGCCACUCUUCUGGACCUUAUUUGGCAGCCCUCCGGUAGCUUCCCAUGUGUACCAGGUCACCUUAAUUUGUUUGUCUUCCUCUGGAAUGUGACUAAGAACACUGGUUUCCAGCAGCUUUCCACUCCUGCAUUCAGCACACCGGCCUAACAUGCAGUGAGGACUAUCUGGAUUGCAGGCCACAGCUUUGAUAAAAUCCUGUGUGCUCUGGAAUGCUUGCCUUGGGAUGGCACGUUGCACACAGUCCAGGGCUAAUUUAAGAUCCUCAUGGUAACGGCACAGGCAAACAUUUCUCGGAGUAUCUGAACACCGGAGUACAUGAGAUGGUCGAAGCUCAGCAAAUUUAGAUUUCCCAAUUAUAAACUCCGGAUGUUCACUCUUGAAGCCGCGGUAGGCCUCUAGAAUAGACAUUGUUAAAUGUCGUUUCUGGAUUUUCUUUUUUACUCCUCCCUCUCUGACUGUGAGCACAUCCCUCAUCCCUGGUGCUUGCCUUGAGAUGUCAUCUCUCUCAUAGAACUCCUUGACUUGACCAUAUGUAGUAGUUGUGGUAUUAUUCUUUUUCUCCUGAAGAAGGCACAGUGAUGUUGCAAUUUUUUUUAUAACUAUAAAUUUUUUUCGAGGGCUGCUAGGUAAAGCUUGGAGUGCUCGUUUUACAGCCUUGCCUAGUGACUGUCUUGUUUUAAAAGGUGAAUUUUGUGGAGACUCCUGCAAAGCAGGAACCUGUGACUUCUUUAGAAGACGCCUUUUCCUCUGUCUUUGUCUAGCAAGCUCCCUGACUCUUUCUGCCUCUUGGUUUGAUUGUGUUUCUUUCUUUCUUUGUCUUUCUGCAUUUUUCCUUAUCCUUUCCUUUUC